AAAAAGUAUGGCUAAUUUUUUGUCAAUUACCCGGGAGCCCUUGGAUGUUGCAGCCAUUACAAAUUCAAUAUUUCGUGAAGAUUGUGGUGCUGUUUCCAUAUUCGUAGGAACGGCUAGAAAUUCGUUUGACGGAAAAAUGGUACAUUCGCUUAAAUAUGAAGCAUACGAGACAAUGGCUCUAAAAGAACUUGAAAAAAUUUGUGAUGCAGUGCGCUCUCAUUGGAACGAUGUAGUGAACAUCGCAAUACAUCACCGUCUCGGUUUAGUAGCAACAAAGGAAGCAAGCGUAGUUAUUGCUAUAUAGUCUCCCCAUCGAGAAGACGCAUUAAAGACAGUUUCAUAUUCUAUUGAACAUCUGAAGAAAUCUGUACCUAUUUGGAAAAAAGAACUGUAUGGCGAUGGAGAUUCAAAUUGGAAAUAAAGUAAAGAAUGCCAGUGGGUUAAGUAACUACGUAUUUUAUAAAAUAUGCUAUCAACAGGGCUCGACUCUGGUUACUUUGGUGAGGGGAAUAUGCAAAUACAUAUAAUA